AGAGGAAGUAAAAGUCGUAACAAGGUCUCCGUUGGUGAACCAGCGGAGGGAUCAUUA
rfam:Triticum urartu cultivar G1812 contig1393157, whole genome shotgun sequence.